UACAGAGGGUGCAAGCGUUAAUCGGAAUUACUGGGCGUAAAGCGUGCGUAGACGGUUAUGUAAGUCGGGUGUGAAAGCCCCGGGCUCAACCUGGGAAUGCCAUUCGAGACUGCAUAGCUAGGGUGCGGAAGAGGGAAGCGGAAUUUCCGGUGUAGCGGUGAAAUGCGUAGAUAUCGGGAGGAACACCAGUGGCGAAGGCGGCUUCCUGGCCUGUUCUUGACGCUGUGGCGCGAAAAGCUAGGGGAGCGAACGGGG
rnacentral:rRNA from 1 species